CUACUAUACUAUUUGGGAACCAACAUCUGUUGUGUCAUAAUUUUGAGGUACAUUUCUGAAUUACUGUGGUGUGGACACGUAUGUGCUUGGUAGUUUCAUUCCCGCAGUUAUAAUCCUGUGUGGACAUUUGGUGCUCUCUAGGAUUUUUACAUAUGCUGGAGAACACAUAUGCAGUUUUUUCUGGGCUCCUUCAGCGUGACUGUAGCAUUGUUACAUGGUCAAAGCGGUGCGACCAGCCGCUUAAAUCUUCACUGGUCCCGAGCCGACCAAAUCUCCAACAUCUCAUUCCCCACCUCUCCCAUCUAUUCUCUCUCCAGACCUGCUCCUAACGCCGGCCACAUCCGGAGCCGCCGCCGUCUGGCUUAGUCAUCAGGGAAGAUGGUGCCGAUCUAGCCGUCGCCUGACAUCGGGAGGGAGUUAGGUGGUGGCGCCGUGGUCGGCAUGGAGGCGGGACGGCGAGCGGGGAGCGAAGGGGACGUGACGUCCAUGUCGACCACGGGUAUGGAGAUCACCAGCGCCGGCACGUGAGGACACCGUCGAUUCCGCCAUGCCACCGCCAAAGCUUGAGGAGGAGGUGCGACGCGGGGAGGUUCGCACAAGGCCACCAUCGACACCGUCUGAUGGAUCCUGACCGCCUCGGGAUAUCCUCCGCGAGUUGAGCACUCCGGCCACGGCGCCAUCUCGAUGGAAGCUCUCCUACAGGUGUGUAGCCCCUCUCUCUCUCUCCCCUAAGAUACUCCAGGCCGGCAAGAUCCUCCAGGCAUCGACAAGGUGCUCUGGCUCCCCCAAUAAUUCUCCACUUAUGCCAUCCCUCUCGAAGCUUUCAUGGUGACUGCUCCUCCGUCCCGUCGGCCAGAUUGUUUUCUCUCCUUCCCCGCUGGAGCGCGAAGGAGGUGGUGAGCUCGCCGUGCGGAACCCUCUGCGUUGAGGCCCCAUGUCUUCUCCAGGACCGGCCUCCACGCCUCCCCAGCCAUUCCCCUGCAGGAAGUUGCUUCAAUUCAUCAGUCGGCACUGUCCUUUGCAUUAUUGUUCUGAUCAGGGUUCUGAUGCUCAGUAGCAACUAAGGUUUGGAUAAGCUUGGUUUGUCUAACAGAAGAUGGAUCUGCCUAUUGCAUAUCUGGUCAGCAUUCGCUAGGGCUCAUCCUCAUUUGUCUUCUCAUUGGUCUUCCUCCCUCACCUAGAUCGUGGGAGUUGUACCUUCACGGCUAGAGUAUGGCGUCAAGAUCAGUGACCUCGUCUUCUCCACACCACCAUAGGAUGACCCAGAGCUCCCGUUGGAUUCUAAAGGUGUAUUUUCCUCUGCCAUGCGUUCCCUAUUUAUGCUUUAUGUGAUCAACUGGCCGACAACUGUACGUCUUAGUGCGAUAUUAUUCAGAUGUAAGUCCAAGAGUCUAUGAUGUUUGAAUCAAAUUUUGAAGUUGUGAUAACACAACCUAGCUUAAUUUGUAUCUGAGUGUAUUAAAUCAGAUUGAAAUAAACUUACUUGUGAGGAAAGGAGCAAAUGGUUUUCUUCCUCUGAAAAAGAGGAAACCUUCUUUGUUCAUUAUGUUCUGUUGUCAGAUCUUUUGUCCAUGCUACUUAUUUAUUAAAACAGUCCUAUUGUUAUUACCCAAAAGCAAGACGGCUGUUUUUUGUGUGCUUAACAUUUUUUCUUUGUAUGCUUACACGCUUACUGGUUUUGUGAUUGUUCCCCAUAUAAUACUUCACCUCUUAGAUCAUUAGUAUCUUGCUUAAAUCCCUUGGAAGAAUAAGCGGAUGAAAAGUUUAAAGGAACUGUAGGUUAUUUAGAGUAUAAUCUCUAUGGUCAGGUGUAUGGUCAAACGAGCUUUUAGACUUUUCAUAGCUUCAAUGAAAUUAUUUGUAUGAUCUUUGUGUGAUACUUUUUUGUCUUCCAGAUUAUGUUAUUAUAAUAAGAAACUGUAUUUUUCUUAUAAUAGCUCGAUGGUUCAGAGAUGUUAGUUUUAUUUUGAUGCCUUCUUGUUUCUGCUAUUUUGAUCUAUCUCUUACCUUUGAAGUUAUUCUUUUUUUAAUCGUAUCCUUUCAAGUCCUAAUUCAAGAUCUUGAUGUCAUCCAUGUGUUAACUACCUCUAUUUUUGUGUGUUUUUAUUUUGCAUCAGAGAUAACGAUGAUAAAUUGACGCCUGUAGCUAUUGACCCACUCUCAUGUAGUUAGUGUCUCUCUUCCCCCUCUAAUAUUUGUUGUCAUCAUUUCAGUUCGAGAAUUUUGUGAUGUUCAAUAUAAA